ACGACCCCUGCCGGACAGUCCGGAUGAAGGCCCGGACGGUCCGCCGCUCCUCUGCUUCGGCGGGUGAUGCACGCGUCGCACGAGUCCACGCGUCGGCCAUCCUCGUCCCCGUGCCGUGUGUCGGGCGUCGCCGCCGACGAACCUCGUUCCGCGCAUCCUUAUCCGCGCCGAGUCCGCUCGCUCGCCCUCUCCGUCUCCUUUUCGACCGGCUCCAAACCCUAGCUCCCGUUCCCCUCUACCAUUGGCGCCGGCCCGAGCUCCUUGCCGCCGCCGAUUCGCCGCCCUCGGGCCUCCUCGCCGAGCGAUGCCAUCACUCCUCGCUGGGCUGCCUCCCUGCUGCGUUGUUUCUCCGUUUGUGCCGUGGGUGAGAUGGCAUGAACUGGAUGCUCCCUUCCCUUCCUCGUGCGCAUGCCUGUGAUCUAGAUUCCUGGUACUCUCUUUUGCCGCUGCUCUGAAUCACAGCAGCCUGCUAGUCGACCCUCAUCUCUGUGCGUGCGUGUUGUGGAGCAGAGAAGAUGAACAGUGGAAGCUAAUAGCAAAUCCAUGUUGUACUUGUGUGUGUUUGAGUUUGCAAAAAUCAUAGUAAAAUAAAUAUAGAUCCAGAAAUAGUGAAA